UGGGGAAUAUUGGACAAUGGGGGCAACCCUGAUCCAGCGAUGCCGCGUGGGUGAAGAAGGCCUUCGGGUUGUAAAGCCCUUUAGGUUGGGAAGAAGGUUGUGCGGGGAUAAUCUGCAUAACUUGACGGUACUAACAGAAUAAGCACCGGCAAACUCUGUGCCAGCAGCCGCGGUAAUACAGAGGGUGCGAGCGUUAAUCGGAGUUACUGGGCGUAAAGGGCGCGUAGGCGGUUGUAUGAGUGUGAUGUGAAAGCCCCGGGCUUAACCUGGGAAGUGCAUCGCAAACGAUACGACUGGAGUAGAUGAGAGGGUGGCGGAAUUUCCGGUGUAGCGGUGAAAUGCGUAGAGAUCGGAAGGAACGUCGAUGGCGAAGGCAGCCACCUGGCAUCAUACUGACGCUGAGGCGCGAAAGCGUGGGGAGCAAACAGG
rnacentral:rRNA from 1 species